rnacentral:lncRNA from 1 species
AUGUUACAUAAAAUGCUAGCCUCUGGUCUUGCUAACAGCACUUGAAGCUUACAGACAGACACCUGCUCACCUCAGAAGUACAUGUGAUAGAUUUGAUAGGAGUAAACAACAGUGAGCCAAAGAUGAUGUAGUCUGAACCUUGUCUGAAAACCUGGAAAUAAUCAUGACAUUUGAGGAAGCUUAAAGAUCGCCAUUGAUCUUUGUUAGGGAAGAAAGCUUUAAGCAUCCAUCCUUCCUGCUGAGCCGCGAGGAUCUGGUGGCAGUUAAGUGAUUGCUACAGUUGGCCCCCCCUGGCCACCCUUCCCCUGCAAAGCGCCAGCUGAGGUUGAAGGAGAUUCAUCAUUUGCCACUUCCUCAGCCUACAUCAAACCCUAUUCAGGCCCUUUUCUGCCUAAUGAGGCCCACAGAGCCACCAGCUGUCGCUGCUUAUCCUUGAAUCAACCAAAGUAGCAGCAGGAAAAGCUCCAUGAGCUACUCCUGACACAAUUCUCCAGAUAAUUGUUUCAGAAUGAUGUUCUUGCUCCAGCCCACUAGCAUCUUAGAAGUAUGAUGUCCAAUCUGCUGAAGAUUGAAAACUACAGAAAUGUCUGUUGAACAUCACACGAUGAACAGGAAACUCAGAACAGCCUAGUGAUUUCAGUCGUGAUAGGGAGGGGCUACAAGGAAGAGACUGAACUGCCACUGUAGUGUUUUGACUCAUGAAAUUUUAUAAAAACAGCUCUUUCCAAAUCAAGUUCAGACAGGUUCAGGUCAGGACUUUCUUUUCUGGAAUGCCAUUUAAAAAAAAUCUAAAAUCUUGC